ACAGGAAGAAGCUUGCUUCUUUGCUGACGAGUGGCGGACGGGUGAGUAAUGUCUGGGAAACUGCCUGAUGGAGGGGGAUAACUACUGGAAACGGUAGCUAAUACCGCAUAACGUCGCAAGACCAAAGAGGGGGACCUUCGGGCCUCUUGCCAUCGGAUGUGCCCAGAUGGGAUUAGCUAGUAGGUGGGGUAACGGCUCACCUAGGCGACGAUCCCUAGCUGGUCUGAGAGGAUGACCAGCCACACUGGAACUGAGACACGGUCCAGACUCCUACGGGAGGCAGCAGUGGGGAAUAUUGCACAAUGGGCGCAAGCCUGAUGCAGCCAUGCCGCGUGUAUGAAGAAGGCCUUCGGGUUGUAAAGUACUUUCAGCGGGGAGGAAGGGAGUAAAGUUAAUACCUUUGCUCAUUGACGUUACCCGCAGAAGAAGCACCGGCUAACUCCGUGCCAGCAGCCGCGGUAAUACGGAGGGUGCAAGCGUUAAUCGGAAUUACUGGGCGUAAAGCGCACGCAGGCGGUUUGUUAAGUCAGAUGUGAAAUCCCCGGGCUCAACCUGGGAACUGCAUCUGAUACUGGCAAGCUUGAGUCUCGUAGAGGGGGGUAGAAUUCCAGGUGUAGCGGUGAAAUGCGUAGAGAUCUGGAGGAAUACCGGUGGCGAAGGCGGCCCCCUGGACGAAGACUGACGCUCAGGUGCGAAAGCGUGGGGAGCAAA
rnacentral:rRNA from 1 species